rnacentral:rRNA from 1 species
AUGCUGGAGGUAUCAGAAGUGCGAAUGCUGACAUAAGUAACGAUAAAGCGGGUGAAAAGCCCGCUCGCCGGAAGACCAAGGGUUCCUGUCCAACGUUAAUCGGGGCAGGGUGAGUCGACCCCUAAGGCGAGGCCGAAAGGCGUAGUCGAUGGGAAACAGGUUAAUAUUCCUGUACUUGGUGUUACUGCGAAGGGGGGACGGAGAAGGCUAUGUUGGCCGGGCGACGGUUGUCCCGGUUUAAGCGUGUAGGCUGGUUUUCCAGGCAAAUCCGGAAAAUCAAGGCUGAGGCGUGAUGACGAGGCACUACGGUGCUGAAGCAACAAAUGCCCUGCUUCCAGGAAAAGCCUCUAAGCAUCAGGUAACAUCAAAUCGUACCCCAAACCGACACAGGUGGUCAGGUAGAGAAUACCAAGGCGCUUGAGAGAACUCGGGUGAAGGAACUAGGCAAAAUGGUGCCGUAACUUCGGGAGAAGGCACGCUGAUAUGUAGGUGAAGUCCCUCGCGGAUGGAGCUGAAAUCAGUCGAAGAUACCAGCUGGCUGCAACUGUUUAUUAAAAACACAGCACUGUGCAAACACGAAAGUGGACGUAUACGGUGUGACGCCUGCCCGGUGCCGGAAGGUUAAUUGAUGGGGUUAGCGCAAGCGAAGCUCUUGAUCGAAGCCCCGGUAAACGGCGGCCGUAACUAUAACGGUCCUAAGGUAGCGAAAUUCCUUGUCGGGUAAGUUCCGACCUGCACGAAUGGCGUAAUGAUGGCCAGGCUGUCUCCACCCGAGACUCAGUGAAAUUGAACUCGCUGUGAAGAUGCAGUGUACCCGCGGCAAGACGGAAAGACCCCGUGAACCUUUACUAUAGCUUGACACUGAACAUUGAGCCUUGAUGUGUAGGAUAGGUGGGAGGCUUUGAAGUGUGGACGCCAGUCUGCAUGGAGCCGACCUUGAAAUACCACCCUUUAAUGUUUGAUGUUCUAACGUUGACCCGUGAUCCGGGUUGCGGACAGUGUCUGGUGGGUAGUUUGACUGGGGCGGUCUCCUCCUAAAGAGUAACGGAGGAGCACGAAGGUUGGCUAAUCCUGGUCGGACAUCAGGAGGUUAGUGCAAUGGCAUAAGCCAGCUUGACUGCGAGCGUGACGGCGCGAGCAGGUGCGAAAGCAGGUCAUAGUGAUCCGGUGGUUCUGAAUGGAAGGGCCAUCGCUCAACGGAUAAAAGGUACUCCGGGGAUAACAGGCUGAUACCGCCCAAGAGUUCAUAUCGACGGCGGUGUUUGGCACCUCGAUGUCGGCUCAUCACAUCCUGGGGCUGAAGUAGGUCCCAAGGGUAUGGCUGUUCGCCAUUUAAAGUGGUACGCGAGCUGGGUUUAGAACGUCGUGAGACAGUUCGGUCCCUAUCUGCCGUGGGCGCUGGAGAACUGAGGGGGGCUGCUCCUAGUACGAGAGGACCGGAGUGGACGCAUCACUGGUGUUCGGGUUGUCAUGCCAAUGGCACUGCCCGGUAGCUAAAUGCGGAAGAGAUAAGUGCUGAAAGCAUCUAAGCACGAAACUUGCCCCGAGAUGAGUUCUCCCUGACUCCUUGAGAGUCCUGAAGGAACGUUGAAGACGACGACGUUGAUAGGCCGGGUGUGUAAGCGCAGCGAUGCGUUGAGCUAACCGGUACUAAUGAACCGUGAGGCUUAACCUUACAACGCCGAAG